rnacentral:tRNA from 1 species
CAGAGCUCGGCAAGGAAU